UACGUAGGGACCAAGCGUUGUUCGGAUUUACUGGGCGUAAAGGGCGCGUAGGCGGCGCGGUAAGUCACUUGUGAAAUCUCUGAGCUUAACUCAGAACGGCCAAGUGAUACUGCAGUGCUAGAGUGUGGAAGGGGCAAUCGGAAUUCUUGGUGUAGUGGUGAAAUGCGUAGAUAUCAAGAGGAACACCUGAGGUGAAGACGGGUUGCUGGGCCAACACUGACGCUGAGGCGCGAAAGCCAGGGGAGCAAACGGG
rnacentral:rRNA from 1 species